GAUGAACGCUGGCGGUAUGCUUAACACAUGCAAGUCGAACGGACUCUUCGGAGUUAGUGGCGGACGGGUGAGUAACGCGUGAGAAUCUGGCUUUGGGUUCGGGACAACCACUGGAAACGGUGGCUAAUACCGGAUGUGCCGAGAGGUAAAAGAGAAAUUGCCUGAAGAUGAGCUCGCGUCUGAUUAGCUAGUUGGUGAGGUAAAGGCUCACCAAGGCAGCGAUCAGUAGCUGGUCUGAGAGGAUGACCAGCCACACUGGGACUGAGACACGGCCCAGACUCCUACGGGAGGCAGCAGUGGGGAAUUUUCCGCAAUGGGCGAAAGCCUGACGGAGCAAUACCGCGUGAGGGAAGAAGGCUCUUGGGUUGUAAACCUCUUUUCUCAGGGAAGAACAAAAUGACGGUACCUAAGGAAUCAGCAUCGGCUAACUCCGUG
rnacentral:rRNA from 1 species